rnacentral:rRNA from 1 species
UACAGAGGCCACGAGCGUUAGGCGGAAUCACUGGGCUUAAAGCGUGUGUAGGUGGAUGACUAAGUACCUUGUGAAAUCCCACGACUCAAUCGUGGAACUGCUUGGUAUACUGGUUGUCUUGAGGUACUCAGGGGCGAGCGGAACAGAUGGUGGAGCGGUGAAAUGCGUAGAUAUCAUCUGGAACGCCAAUGGUGAAGACAGCUCGCUGGGGGUAUUCUGACACUGAGACACGAAAGCCAGGGGAGCAAACGGG